AUUGAACGCUGGCGGCAGGCCUAACACAUGCAAGUCGAGCGGCAGCGGGAAAGUAGCUUGCUACUUUUGCCGGCGAGCGGCGGACGGGUGAGUAAUGCCUGGGAAAUUGCCCAGUCGAGGGGGAUAACAGUUGGAAACGACUGCUAAUACCGCAUACGCACUACGGGGGAAAGCAGGGGACCUUCAGGCAUUGGGCGAUUGGAUCUGCCCAGGUGGGAUUAGCUAGUUGGUGAGGUAAUGGCUCACCAAGGCGACGAUCCCUAGCUGGUCUGAGAGGAUGAUCAGCCACACUGGAACUGAGACACGGUCCAGACUCCUACGGGAGGCAGCAGUGGGGAAUAUUGCACAAUGGGGGAAACCCUGAUGCAGCCAUGCCGCGUGUGUGAAGAAGGCCUUCGGGUUGUAAAGCACUUUCAGCGAGGAGGAAAGGUUGAUGCCUAAUACGUAUCAACUGUGACGUUACUCGCAGAAGAAGCACCGGCUAACUCCGUGCCAGCCGCCGCAGUAAGAC
rnacentral:rRNA from 1 species